rnacentral:piRNA from 1 species
UCCCAGUAUAGGGUUGGAGGAGGAGCUUA